UCAGCUGCAGGAAAUUUUUUCAGAUACUGUGAUUGAAAAAUCACUCCAGCUGGGGAUAAUUAGGGAAUAAAGGAAGAGGAAAACAGCUUGGGGUAGAGUAGAAGAGAAGGAGAGAAGAUCAGGGAGCGUGGGGGCUUGGCAGCGGGCCUCAAGAGAGAGAGUAGCAGAGGUGGGGAGGGGAACGGCUCCAGAACCAGCUCCUGCAUCUGUCCCCGCACCCAAGCAACACAGUUUUUAAUUGGCCCAGGACGCUCUCCGGUCUGGAUGUCACCCUGGGCAGAACCUUGAGAAUCAAAGGAUCUGAGAAGCAGGAGCAAGGAACUCAGGAAGAGAUCCAGGAAGACAUCUGACUGUGUUAAGAGAGGAUAGUCACAGCGACACGGGGAGUGAGGACACUUGCAGCAAAGUAAAAUUACUUCACAACUGUUUCAUCAGAGCUGCAGUUGUGAGAGAGCCUAAGCCUGUCUCAGAGUGCAAGGGACAAGCGGAAAGGAAUGUGUAAGAAUGCCGGUAACUCAGUUAGAAGCAUGCUUCGAAGCUUUUCGUGUCCUUGCCAUCCAGAAGCGGAGCCUGGAAGCUUCCCAAUUUCUCCAGAAUGUGGUCUACAUUCACCUUCGACAGACUGAAUAUGGAUAAUCUGGAAACUUGGAAAGGAACCGAGAUGGAAUUACUGCAGGUACCUUCUACUUUAAUAAGCCGUGUGCAAACAUAAACACGGAGGAAGCAUACAAAAGGAUUUGGUGGUGUAGGGAAGGGUUUCUGCACAUUACAGGAGAAGGCAAGGCAGAAUUCCUCUUUGUGGGCAGGGACGUGAGUACAACUUUCUUUUCUGUAGCGGUUUCUGAGAACAGUUUAUGGUAAUUAACCAACAUUGACAAACGGUGGCACACAUUGCAUUUAAGAGCUGGCCAGCUGCAAACUUGUGUAUCGGACAGGUGGAUUUAUAGGCAAGUGGUCAGGUGGACAGGAGAGAGAUGGAGACCAGGACUGGGCCCAGAUUCAGGUUUAAAUCGCCAUUUCCUCACCAUAGGGCCGUGGACUAGAAUGUAACCUCCCUUAACCUGUUGGUGAAUCUGUGAAAUGGGCAUGAUAAUA